rnacentral:misc_RNA from 1 species
AUGUGCACCCCUAUUGCCCUGGUAUACCGAAGAAACACACACUAAUUGGUUAUGCAUGAUCAUUCUGAUUGGUGGCAAUCUUUUCCAAAUCGGUGCAUAUCCUUAUUUUAUCUUAGCGCUUGUGAAGAGAUAAAGCAAUGGUGCCAAACUAAGGCACUAACUCAGAAACGUAUUAAACUGUGAAUAAAUACUGAAGAAGAAUACUCUAAAUAUGAUGAUGGAAGAACACGCAAAUAUACUUUUUGUAACUUUUUGUGACACUUCCUACAAAUGACAAGACUCCUAUUUAUAUACGAGGA